rnacentral:rRNA from 1 species
CCUACGGGUGGCUGCAGUGAGGAAUAUUGGUCAAUGGACGAGAGUCUGAACCAGCCAAGUAGCGUGAAGGAUGACUGCCCUACGGGUUGUAAACUUCUUUUAUAUGGGAAUAAAAUGUUCCACGUGUGGGAUUUUGUAUGUACUUUAUGAAUAAGGAUCGGCUAACUCCGUGCCAGCAGCCGCGGUAAUACGGAGGAUCCGAGCGUUAUCCGGAUUUAUUGGGUUUAAAGGGAGCGUAGGUGGGUUGUUAAGUCAGUUGUGAAAGUUUGCGGCUCAACCGUAAAAUUGCAGUUGAUACUGGCAGUCUUGAGUACAGUAGAGGUGGGCGGAAUUCGUGGUGUAGCGGUGAAAUGCUUAGAUAUCACGAAGAACUCCGAUUGCGAAGGCAGUUCACUGGACUGCAACUGACACUGAGGCUCGAAAGUGUGGGUAUCAAACAGGAUUAGAUACCCUUGUAGUC